UACGAAGGGUGCAAACGUUGCUCGGAAUUAUUGGGCGUAAAGCGCACGUAGGCGGCUUAGCAAGUCGGAAGUGAAAUCCCACGGCUCAACCAUGGAAGUGCUUUCGAAACUGCUGAGCUUGAGUACGAAAGAGGAUCGCGGAAUUCCCGGUGUAGAGGUGAAAUUCGUAGAUAUUGGGAAGAACACCAGUGGCGAAGGCGGCUCACUGGUCCGAUACUGACGCUGAGGUGCGAAAGCGUGGGGAGCAAACAGG
rnacentral:rRNA from 1 species